UACGUAGGGUGCAAGCGUUGUCCGGAAUUAUUGGGCGUAAAGAGCUCGUAGGCGGUCUGUUGCGUCGGCUGUGAAAACCCGGGGCUCAACCCCGGGCCUGCAGCCGAUACGGGCAGACUAGAGUUCGGCAGGGGAGACUGGAAUUCCUGGUGUAGCGGUGAAAUGCGCAGAUAUCAGGAGGAACACCGAUGGCGAAGGCAGCCCCCUGGGCCAACACUGACGCUCAGGCACGAAAGCGUGGGGAGCAAACAGG
rnacentral:rRNA from 1 species